CCUACGGGAGGCAGCAGUGAGGAAUAUUGGUCAAUGGACGAGAGUCUGAACCAGCCAAGUAGCGUGAAGGAUGACUGCCCUAUGGGUUGUAAACUUCUUUUAUAUGGGAAUAAAAUGUUGCACGUGUGGGAUUUUGUAUGUACUAUAUGAAUAAGGAUCGGCUAACUCCGUGCCAGCAGCCGCGGUAAUACGGAGGAUCCGAGCGUUAUCCGGAUUUAUUGGGUUUAAAGGGAGCGUAGGUGGAUUGUUAAGUCAGUUGUGAAAGUUUGCGGCUCAACCGUAAAAUUGCAGUUGAAACUGGCAGUCUUGAGUACAGUAGAGGUGGGCGGAAUUCGUGGUGUAGCGGUGAAAUGCUUAGAUAUCACGAAGAACUCCGAUUGCGAAGGCAGUUCACUGGACUGCAACUGACACUGAGGCUCGAAAGUGUGGGUAUCAAACAGGAUUAGAUACCCCAGUAGUC
rnacentral:rRNA from 1 species